rnacentral:misc_RNA from 1 species
GCAAUUAUUGGUAUGGCUCUCAAGGUAAAAUUUUCUUCAUUGCAAUUAGGAUUUUAUGCCUAGUACCAGAAAUACAUAUCAUAUGACAUUCUCUUUUCAAGUAUUCUUCCUUUUCUUCUUUGAAAUGUAAUCUGAAAUUAACGUGUUUAAUGAAUCAUAAAUAUAAUAAUGUGUAUUGAAAAGGAACUGACUAGUAUUACUUUUUUCCACGUACUUGCAGCAACCUUUUGAAAUUUAAGUUUUCUCGUAGUUUAAGUCCACAUUAAUGAGG